UCUUUGUUCCUCAAAGCGUUACCUUUGAUGGCCGUCCGCCAAAGGCCACCCAUCUUCUUCCUCUGCACUGUUUCCAAUUUCCAUAACCAGAACUGUGUCUUGUGUUCCUUCUUCAACAUCCCAUUCACUACAAGCGUACAACCACCUCCUUCAGCUUCUGAAGCACUCUCUUCCAAUGCUAAGUUUCCUUUGGCUCACAAGGACUCUGCCUUCUGCGGACUGCGGUGAAUUGUCUUCAAAGGACGUUGGGAAAUAGGUUCAGCUUUGUGGGUGGCUGACCCUUCACAGGGUCCAUGGUGGCCUCACAUAGUGACAUUUCUCUAACUCCGGGAUCAUACUGUGACAUUUCUCUAACCCUUCCAGAUGCGCAUUCUGGUUUUCCUUGAUAUUAAAGUAUGUGCAAUUACCAAAUCCAUUUCCCAGGCUUUUACAUAUGCUGAAGCAAUGAACAGACACGGCUCAGGCAGGCAGGAUACUAGAAUUGAUCUUGAGUUAAAAGAUCAAUGAAAGCUUGUGCCGGCACAGUGUUUUUGCUUAAGGUCUUGGAUACUGGGGAGACUGAGGGAAUUGCUGCUUUAGUAUCAAGCAUGGAUGCUACAACUAGAGAGAAUUCGUAAAAGCUACCUUCUUUGAUUUUCUUUUGCUAUUGAACUUUUAAGGCAAGCAUUCAAUUUUGGAUCACUGAUCUUCCAAUGUUUGAGCGGAAUGAUACGGAGCAGAGGCUUGAGGUUCUACAUCAUCCUUUCCCUGUGCUAAAGACAUGAAUGACCUUACAUCUCCCCAUGCAUUAGCGUAUGACAUGGUUUACAAUGGAGUGGAGAUUGGCAGGGGAAGUUUAAGAAUUUAUAAACGUGACAUGCAACAAAAGGCUUUGGAGAUCACUGGCAUCUCAAUGGAGCAGGUUAGUUUACCAUUAUCUUGUAUAUCAUGAAGACAAACUUGUACUGGUUAGGGUUACCUUUCUUUCUGAAUGAAUUGUGUGGAUGAUUUUAUUGUAUUAAUCGACAUUGAAACAAAAAUAAAAACCUGUUAGGAAAACCUUUCUGAAA